CUACGGGAUGCACCAGUGGGGAAUAUUGCACAAUGGGCGCAAGCCUGAUGCAGCCAUGCCGCGUGUAUGAAGAAGGCCUUCGGGUUGUAAAGUACUUUCAGCGGGGAGGAAGGGAGUAAAGUUAAUACCUUUGCUCAUUGACGUUACCCGCAGAAGAAGCACCGGCUAACUCCGUGCCAGCAGCCGCGGUAAUACGGGGGGUGCAAGCGUUAAUCGGAAUUACUGGGCGUAAAGCGCACGCAGGCGGUUUGUUAAGUCAGAUGUGAAAUCCCCGGGCUCAACCUGGGAACUGCAUCUGAUACUGGCAAGCUUGAGUCUCGUAGAGGGGGGUAGAGUUCCAGGUGUAGCGGUGAAAUGCGUAGAGAUCUGGAGGAAUACCGGUGGCGAAGGCGGCCCCCUGGACGAAGACUGACGCUCAGGUGCGAAAGCGUGGGGAGCAAACAGGAUUAGAUACCCUCGUAGUC
rnacentral:rRNA from 1 species